UGGAAAUUUUGUUGAAAAAAAAUGAGC
rnacentral:piRNA from 1 species